rnacentral:lncRNA from 1 species
GGCUUGUGUAUGUCAGAUUGGUUUGAUAUUUGGUCUGCAGCUUUAUCAAGGUGAAUUGUACCGUGUCUCCCCUUUUCAGGUCUGUCAUUCGUCUACUUCCCGUUUGACGGGAGCAUCUGUGUCUCAUAGACACAUCUUCUCUGUUUUCUAUUACAGUUUAUACAGGAAAAUUUUGUUGACAAUUUUUUUUUCAUAUGACAAAAUAUUGAGGCAGCAG